AUGUGAUUGUAACUUUUACUUUUCAGACUCAAUAAAACAGUUUCCUUUUCUUCUUAAUCAAUAUUCUCUCUGCAUAUUUCGUGAUCCACAUCAAUGGUGGACGUAUGUGCAGAGUAUUAAGCAUAAAUUUGACAUGGUAUCAAAGUAGCGAUCUCAUCUCCAACUGCAUAUUCAGUUUGAGUUCAUCGCAAUUUCUCAAUAGGAGAAAAAAUGCCAGAGGAUCAAUUUAACGCAUCAAUGGCGUCUCCAGCAAUAUCAACACUUGAUCAUCAUCGUCCGUUUUAUUUCAAGCUUCAGAUUCUCUAGGUCUAGUAAUAAUUUCGAUUAAGUUCACAGGUCCAAAGAAUUAUCUCUGUGGCUUCAAUCGAUGAAAAUAGCUCUGCGAAGAAAGGUAAGCUAGGGUUUGUGGAUGUCACUUGUAUUAAGAGCAAUUGUACAGGAGAGUUCGAGGAAUUAUGGGAAAAUGUAAUGCUAUUGUACUAUCCUUGAUUGGUAGCACUGUUUCAGUUGAACUAAUUCCUAGCAUUGUUUAUUCUUUGACUGAUAGAAAGGUUCGGGAAGAAUUCAAGGAACGAUUCAUUCAAUUAAAUUUGACCAGGAUCUGCCAUCUUUGGUCUGAAAUGGCCAAUUUAAAGAUGGGGACUAAUUCUAUGACUUGUUAUUUUUCAAGAAUGAAGGAUUUGUGGAAUGAACUUGAUGUCAUGAUUUCAAUGCCUUCCUGUGGUUGUAAAAAGUGUAGUAUCUAUGUAGAACAUCUAAAAUCUCAGCAAUUAUUAUAGUUCCUUAUGGGACUUAAUGAGAGUUAUUACAGCUUGAGAAGAAGCAUUCUCUCUCGAAAUACCAAUAUGAUAGUCAGUGAAGCCUAUGCAAUCAUGACUCAAGAAGAAAGCCAACGAUCACUGGUAGUAGUUGAUACUCACAAGGAUCCCUUAACAAUGCUAGCUCGGAGAAAUCCUGGUUAUAGACAGAAGAAUCCCGGGAACUAUGGGGGGUCUUCUGAAAACACAACUAGAGGGAAUUGUGGAGGAUUACCAAAAACUGCUGAAAGAAUUCAUUGCAUCCAUUAUGCUUACAAAGGUCAUUUGAAGGAUAAUUGCAAUAGAAUUGUUGUCUAUCCUCAAGUCUUCAAGAGUAUGAGGAGAUCUUCACAGCAAACACAACAGACACAACCUGCACAAUUCAAGCCAACAGCCCAUACUAGCUCCAAUGUUAACUCUAGUUCCAGUGCCAACAAUCAAAGUCAAGGUUCAGGCUACUUCCUCACAGAACAACAAUAUUAGAAGUUGUUUGGUAAACAGACUCAAUCCAACAAUGAGUGUGUUUCUAACAUGGCUGGGGCUCUACAAUGGCAAGGUCUUGGAGAUUGGUAGAGAAAAGGAUGGUUUAUACCUCUUACAGGAGAAGCUCACUCCAAUUACAAAUACUGCAAGUUUCAAGUGUGAUGUUGAAGGAGUUCUUUGGCACCUUAUAUUAGGUCAUGUUUCCACCUCAGUCAUGCAACACAUAUCUUCACUCAAUAAAUGUGUCAGCUCUAUCAUACAGGACAACUGUCAUAUAUGUCCUCUAGUUAAACAUCACAGGUUAAAAUUCCCUACUAGUUGUACUAAGACAGUAGCUUGUUUUGAUUUGCAGCAUGUAGACUUGUAGGGGGCUUACAAAAAGCUUACCUAUAACAAGAAGUAUUAUUUUGUUACUAUUGUGGAUGACUACAGCCUAUAUACAUGGGUUUGCUUGAAACAAUCUUAAUAUGAUGUUAUCAUUGUGUUGAAAAACUUUCUGUGCUUAGUUAAAAUUCAAUUUGAUGCAUUUGUAAAAAUAUUGAGGUCUGAUAAUGGCACUGAAUUCUUUAA